AACGUAGGUGGCAAGCGUUAUCCGGAUUUACUGGGCGUAAAGCGUGUGCAGGCGGGGGUACAAGUGGUGUAUGAAAUUUCCCAGCUUAACUGGGAAGGGUUAUGCCAGACUGUACUUCUGGAGUGCGAGAGAGGGGCGUGGAAUUCCGGGUGUAGUGGUGAAAUGCGUAGAGAUCCGGAGGAACCCCAGAGGCGAAGGCGGCGCCCUGGCUCGCAACUGACGCUCAGACACGACAGCAUGGGGAGCGAACGGGA
rnacentral:rRNA from 1 species